GGGUGUAGGUGGACGGUUGACGGCGAUUUAUUUCGCUGAGGAAAGUCCUCUCUCACUCUGAAUCGGGAUACCGUGCAAGCGGUUAAGGCAAGAGUCUUAGCAGAGGCACAGAAACGACACAGCCCUUGGAAUAUGCAAUGAUUCAUUUGAUGAUGAGUUCUCCCUGGGAUUUGGUGAAACGGCCAAUCUGCUCCUGGAGCAAGCCCAAAUGUCGAGAUCAGUUAUUCAGACUGCUUGAAGGUAGGGUGCAUAGACGAAUACCGUUAGAACAGAAAGAGGCUUACGGCCUAGACCC
rnacentral:RNase_P_RNA from 2 species